CACGUAGGGUGCGAGCGUUGUCCGGAAUUAUUGGGCGUAAAGAGCUCGUAGGCGGUUUGUCGCGUCUGCCGUGAAAGUCCGGGGCUCAACUCCGGAUCUGCGGUGGGUACGGGCAGACUAGAGUGAUGUAGGGGAGACUGGAAUUCCUGGUGUAGCGGUGAAAUGCGCAGAUAUCAGGAGGAACACCGGUGGCGAAGGCGGAUCUCUGGGCCGAUACUGACGCUGAGGAGCGAAAGCGUGGGGAGCGAACAGG
rnacentral:rRNA from 1 species